GGACAGCCGAGCGACCGGAGUGACAGCAAAGGAAAGGCGGAGAGCAGGAGAAAGAAGCGUCUGCGCUGGCAAGCUCUCCCGGCAGCGCCGAGAGCCAGAGCUGCGCCCAGAAAAAUCAAAACUAAUUACAUACCCGGUCACAUCAUCGAUAUGAUAGAUGGAGUCGCAGUAAAAGAGCGGGUAUCAUUGUUUCCAGCAAGAGCCGCUUUCUCUAUUCAGCACUUAGCACACCAUAAACUCAAGACAGGUCCAUUGCAUUUUAGUGGAUUUCCUGAUUUUACAGAAGAUGGAACCUUGGGGUUUUUUCUCCAGUUUUCCUGCUCAUAGCUCACGGGAAGAUAGAAGGUCUAUUCUAGCUCAGUCACAUCGCAGCCAACCGGAGGCACGAUGAUCCCUAGAUGUGCGGCGUAAGUUAUCCAGCCCUCGGCAUGGCCAUAAGCGGAGCUGAAUGUCAGAAGAGUCUCAUCUUGUGAAGCAUGGGCGCAGGCUCGAGCGACCGUAUUCCCUGGAAUUUCACGGUGAAGAGGAUGCGUAUCGCCUGCGCUCGUAACGGUCUCCAGCUGGGGGUCUGUCUUUUAUCGUGGUCCUGACACAAAGCUUUUUCUAUUUUCUAGUUUUACCUUUUUCCGUAAGCGAACAAUGAGGCUUUCUCUAGUACCGGUCACAGCAGUUAUGUUCUCUUGUUCUUGGAAGCAUUUAGGGUUAGCGU